rnacentral:rRNA from 1 species
GCAUAUCAAUAAGCGGAGGAAAAGAAACCAACCGGGAUUGCCUCAGUAACGGCGAGUGAAGCGGCAAGAGCUCAAAUUUGAAAGCUGGCUCCUUCGGGGUCCGCAUUGUAAUUUGCAGAGGAUGCUUCGGGUGCAGCCCCCGUCUAAGUGCCCUGGAACGGGCCGUCAUAGAGGGUGAGAAUCCCGUAUGGGGCGGGGUGUCUGCGUCCGUGUGAAGCUCCUUCGACGAGUCGAGUUGUUUGGGAAUGCAGCUCUAAAUGGGUGGUAAAUUUCAUCUAAAGCUAAAUACUGGCCGGAGACCGAUAGCGCACAAGUAGAGUGAUCGAAAGAUGAAAAGCACUUUGAAAAGAGAGUUAAACAGCACGUGAAAUUGUUGAAAGGGAAGCGCUUGCAACCAGACUCGCUCGCGGGGUUCAGCCGGGCUUCGGCCCGGUGUACUUCCCCGCGGGCGGGCCAGCGUCGGUUUGGGCGGCCGGUCAAAGGCCUCCGGAAUGUAGCGCCCUUCGGGGCGCCUUAUAGCCGGGGGUGCAAUGCGGCCAGCCUGGACCGAGGAACGCGCUUCGGCACGGACGCUGGCAUAAUGGUUGUAAACGACCCGUCUUGAAACACGGACCAAGGAGUCUAACAUCUACGCGAGUGUUCGGGUGUCAAACCCGUACGCGCAGUGAAAGCGAACGGAGGUGGGAGCCCCCUCGCGGGGCGCACCAUCGACCGAUCCUGAUGUCUUCGGAUGGAUUUGAGUACGAGCGUAGCUGUGGGGACCCGAAAGAUGGUGAACUAUGCCUGAAUAGGGCGAAGCCAGAGGAAACUCUGGUGGAGGCUCGCAGCGGUUCUGACGUGCAAAUCGAUCGUCAAAUUUGGGUAUAGGGGCGAAAGACUAAUCGAACCAUCUGGUAGCUGGUUCCUGCCGAG